rnacentral:rRNA from 1 species
AGAACGAACGCUGGCGGCAUGCCUAACACAUGCAAGUCGAACGAGACCUUCGGGUCUAGUGGCGCACGGGUGCGUAACGCGUGGGAAUCUGCCCUUGGGUUCGGGAUAACAGUUGGAAACGACUGCUAGUACCGGAUGAUGUCUUCGGACCAAAGAUUUAUCGCCCAAGGAUGAGCCCGCGUAGGAUUAGCUUGUUGGUGAGGUAAGAGCUCACCAAGGCACGAUCCUUAGCUGGUCUGAGAGGAUGAUCAGCCACACUGGGACUGAGACACCGGCCCAGACUCCGUACGGGAGGCAGCGAGUGGGGGAAUAGUUGGACGAAGUGGGACGAAAGG